AUCCACGAUUUUUUCCGUGACUAAUUCAAGCAGCAAUAUUUUUCGGAGUGCGUGUGGCCUCCACGCGUGGCCUUAUAUAACUGACAUUUUCACCAGCGUUUUAGGCCAAAAUCGCAAUAAAGCCUUUGGUUACAGGGAGUAAAUAAAGAAAGAAAACAUUCACAGCUGUAGCACAAGGAUGCCGAUUCCUCUUGCAGGGAAAUACGUACAUUUUGGAAUUCUCUGAGUGUUACAAAUGAACCAAAAGAAAGGUAAUAUUUUAAGUGACAUCACUGUAGUAUUUAACUUAUAAUUUAGGGCCUGAUCUUACAGGUUGUGGAACUCACAUUGGGAACAAGCUCAGAUAUCGAGGAGAACAGUUAUUAUUAAUUUGUAGUGUGACAUUUUGAAGAAUCCAUUGGAAGAACCUCACCUAUCCUAGAUCACAAUUCCCACAGUCCCUGAGCUGGUGGAUGCUGUCACAUAUUUUUUGGGGCAGGCACUGGAGUUGUGGGACUGUGGUGCUUAAAGGGCAGCCCCUCUGCCAAAAUAAUGAGCACCUGCAAUAAACCUGUGCUGUAUCCUUCAAAAUGUGGCUGUUGGCUUAGAUCUUUAAAUAAAAUAUUUGUAUAACCUUGUGGGUU